rnacentral:rRNA from 1 species
UACAGAGGUCCCAAGCGUUGUUCGGAAUCAUUGGGCGUAAAGAGCGUGUAGGCGGCUCGGUAAGUCCGCUGUGAAAGUCCAGGGCUCAACCCUGGAAUGCCGGUGGAAACUGUCGAGCUAGAGUCCGGAAGAGGCGAGUGGAAUUCCUGGUGUAGCGGUGAAAUGCGCAGAUAUCAGGAGGAACACCAAUGGCGAAGGCAGCUCGCUGGGACGGUACUGACGCUGAGACGCGAAAGCGUGGGGAGCAAACAGG